AGUGAACGCUGGCGGUAGGCCUAACACAUGCAAGUCGAACGGCAGCACAGUAAGAGCUUGCUCUUACGGGUGGCGAGUGGCGGACGGGUGAGGAAUACAUCGGAAUCUACUUUUUCGUGGGGGAUAACGUAGGGAAACUUACGCUAAUACCGCAUACGACCUACGGGUGAAAGCAGGGGAUCUUCGGACCUUGCGCGAUUGAAUGAGCCGAUGUCGGAUUAGCUAGUUGGCGGGGUAAAGGCCCACCAAGGCGACGAUCCGUAGCUGGUCUGAGAGGAUGGUCAGCCACACUGGAACUGAGACACGGUCCAGACUCCUACGGGAGGCAGCAGUGGGGAAUAUUGGACAAAGGGCGCAAGCCUGAUCCAGCCAUACCGCGUGGGUGAAGAAGGCCUUCGGGUUGUAAAGCCCUUUUGUUGGGAAAGAAAAGCAGCAGGUUAAUACCCCGCUGUUCUGACGGUACCCAAAGAAGAAGCACCGGCUAACUUCGUG
rnacentral:rRNA from 1 species